rnacentral:rRNA from 1 species
AUGCAUAGGAAUUUUGUUCUCCAUCUUGCUUAUUGGUACAUGUGUGAUGUUUUUCCUGUUAUGAACAUAUUGGUUUGUGCGAAGUUCAUGUACGAUUACCCAAGGAGUUCAACAACCACUCAUGACGAAAGAAGUAUAGGUGAGCAACUCCCAGGUUGUUCAAGUUUGCCGCGUCAGGCUGUGCAAUUUCGCUUGUGUGAACAAAGGGGGAGCAGCUUCUUCUUAACUGUUGAUUCUGCACUUGUAUGGUGCAUUUUGUCUCAGCUUUUAGGUGAAUUCUUUGCUUCUCUUACAUUGUGUUCAACAGGGUACAUAAGAAAAUGGAGCUUUUUUCGAGUUGUUUUUUCUGUAAUACAUGUGAAGACUUCGGUAUGA